UACGUAGGGGGCAAGCGUUGUCCGGAUUUAUUGGGCGUAAAGAGCGUGUAGGCGGCCAGACAGGUCCGUUGUGAAAACUCGAGGCUCAACCUCGAGAUGUCGAUGGAAACCGUCUGGCUAGAGUCCGGAAGAGGAGUGUGGAAUUCCUGGUGUAGCGGUGAAAUGCGCAGAUAUCAGGAAGAACACCUAUGGCGAAGGCAGCACUCUGGGACGGUACUGACGCUGAGACGCGAAAGCGUGGGGAGCAAACAGG
rnacentral:rRNA from 1 species